CCCUACAUUUCCCACAAUGCCCUUCUGCUGUCAUCCGCAGGAAGACUAUUCCAAAGUCUCUGAGCACCUACGGCGAAUGCUCGAUCACCCCUAGACUUGAGUCUGGUUCUAGAAACCACUAAGAGCCUUAAGUUUGCAGACCUGAGAGCUCUUGGAGGUUGGUGAACUAUCAACAGGUCCGAGAGCUAUUAGGUCAGUAGCGUUGAACCCAUCAGAGACACAGUUAGCCACCGACACGAGAGGAAUCUCAGGAGUCUGAAUCUGACCUUCACAGAGGACAAACACAGAGAGCAGAAUAAGCCCUCCAGCAGCCGCUCGUGAUCAUGCCUGAGAAAAGACAAAAACCUGAGAGAAUAAAAUAAAGGAAACCCGC
ensembl:lncRNA